UUACUCUGGUUUCCCUUCAAAACGCAUAAAUCUUUCGCCUUUUACUAAAGAUUUCCGUGGAGGGGAACACUCAAAUGAGUCUUUAAAAUUUUUGACACCCUAUGAACAUUCAUAGGGG